AACGCACAUUGCACCCUCUGGUAUUCCGGAGGGUAUGCCUGUUUGAGUGUCAUUAACAUAUCAAACACGGGCAAGUUUUUCAUGGCUUGCUCUGUUGGUUGGACGUUGAAGGCUUUGCUGGCAUUGACGUUUUCUGUCGGCCAGCUCCUUUUAAAUUCAUUAGCAGGAACCUUGCGGGACUGGCUUCAGUUUGAUAAGAUUGAACUGUUGCCAGAAUGCGCUUUUUUGUUGUUCCAGCUCCUAAUUGUCUGGUUAAAAACUGGACUGCCUCGCUUUGAGGCAAUUAACUUUUUGACAACUUGGCCUCAAAUCAGGUAGGACUACCCGCUGAACUUAA
rnacentral:misc_RNA from 1 species